UACGAGAGGCCCAACCGUUAUUCGGAAUUACUGGGCUUAAAGAGUUCGUAGGCGGCAUGAAAAGUAGGGUGUGAAAGCCCUCGGCUUAACCGAGGAAUUGCGCUCUAAACUGUCGUGCUUGAGGAACCUAGAGGUGAGCAGAACAGAUGGUGGAGCGGUGAAAUGCGUUGAUAUCAGGAGGAACACCAAUAGCGAAGGCAGCUCGCUGGGACGUUACUGACACUGAGGCGCGAAAGCGUGGGGAGCGAACAGG
rnacentral:rRNA from 1 species